AAAUGGGCGGUAAUGGUUUCCAGAGUCUCUGCACCUGGGUGAAUUCAUCUGCCUGUUGUGAUCAGUUGUCUUGGCCACCUCUCCUUUAUAAUGACCCCUUCGGUAGCAGGACAAAAUGCCCAACUCAAAGUGACUUAAACAGAAAGGAAUUUAAUUGGCUUCUGUGAGUGACAAGGCCAGGGAUUUCAGGCAUAGUCUGAUCAAGGCACUGGUUCUGUGCAGUCUCUCCCCAGACCUGUGGUCACCAGAAUAACAGCUCCAGAGAUGUCCGUGCCCUGAUCCCGUAACCUGGGAGCCAGAGAGCUCUCUGAGAGUCAGAGCAGGCAAGGGUGCAGGUCUCCCCUGGAGCCUUCACGGGAGCCAGCACUGCCCACACCCGGACGUUAGCCCCGUGAGGCCCGUUUCCUACUUCUGGCCCCAUAGCUGUUAAAGAAUAAGCUUGUGUGGCUUCAGGCCCUGAAUGUGGUAAUCCGUUAAUCCGCUAGAGCUGCAAGAAGAAACCGUCACUGGCCAGGCUCAGCUUCCACUGAGUGGCCCUCGUUCUCAGGUGUGCUCCUGUCACCUUGGGCCCACCCAGGCUGACAGGCUAAUCACGGCAAGUCCAGAGGGUGAGAGCUGCUUUGGAGAAUCCCCACGGAAGAGGCUCCAGACCACGGUCUUCAUUGAGCUGACUUCCUGGGCACCACGGGAGCCCGUAGCCCCUCUGCUGGCCCUGGGGGCCUGUGUGCAGCCACAGGGGCAGAGCUGACCCACGAGGGUGGCAAAGUCCACACCGGAGGACCCCGGGGCCUGCACGCCAUGGUGAAGCCCCCAGAUAAACCCACCCUGGAGCCAGCACCAAAGACCCCAGACUCCACUGGUUCGGGUAACCAAAAGGCCCCUGUUGCCUCCUGUAAUGCAGAGUCUGGGAGGACACAAGCGUCAGGCACAGCUGGAUCCCAGUGCUCACAAGAGGUCCUCACGACCCUGCCGCCUCUCAGCCGUGGGAUCAUGAAGGCUUUCUCUCCUGGCGGCAAGGACGGCUGCCCCUCGGGUCCCAUGGAAAGCGCUUGUUUCUAGUGCCGCUGGACCCAGCCUAGGUUUCAUGCUGGCCUCUGGACAAAUCACUGCUUGAGGCAGAGCCCACGCACGGGGCAAGGCCGGAGCCUCUGCCGAGGGGAACCCAGCCAGGGGCUUGGCGUUUUUGGACACACGCCUUCUGGAGUUCGGGGCAGCGGUGGGAACAGGGGAAGACUGGCCAGACAGGAGCCAGGAGGGGGCUGCAGGCUGCGGGGCGUCCCCAGGACACAAGAGCAGCCUUAUGCGCAGCAUCAGGGCCACGGCCCAGCACCCAGAGUACAACUGGCCUCCAGUAUGGAGAAUACCUUCAAGAUGUUCAAGGUGCUUUGGCUGCUCUAAUGAUUAACGGAUGUAAAACAGAUGAGCAGGAGAAAAACAAGCAGAAGAAGUUUAGUAACACAUGUACUGAAUGGGAGACAGUCGCGAAAACCGACUGACACUCAGAAGCACGGAAGCCAUCACCUUCAGAGAAAGCCAAAGAUGACGCUGGGGGUGCGGAGUGUGUUAUGGGAGGUGACCCGGAACCGCACAGUAGACAGGGGCAAGGCUGCAGCACAUUCAACUCCUGCCUCCCCUCCUUACAGGUUUCUGAAGGGACACACCCUUACACAGGGACUUUCCCUUGUGAAUGUAAAUGUUUCUUGCAAAAGGGUAACUGCUGCUUGACUUUUCAGAGUAUCUCAGGUAUCUGCAGCUCUUAAAUAUCCAGUUGAAAACAAUCAGGAUGCACAGGAGGGACGCGGUGCCUCACCUGGCUGUGACCGGCACUCCCUGAUGGCUCACGAUGGCCGGCGUCUCCUCAUGGACUCGUUGUCCAUUUGUAGGUCUUCUUUGGAGAAGCGUUGUAUUCAGACCCUUCAUCCAUUUUUUUUUUUUGAUACUGAUUUUUGAGAGAGAGAGAG